rnacentral:rRNA from 1 species
CCUACGGGGUGCUGCAGUGGGGAAUCUUGCGCAAUGGGCGGAAGCCUGACGCAGCAACGCCGCGUGAGCGAAGACGGCCUUCGGGUUGUAAAGCUCUGUCAGGAGGGACGAAGCCACUCGGGUGAAUAGCCCAGAGGGUGACGGUACCUCCAGAGGAAGCCCCGGCUAACUACGUGCCAGCAGCCGCGGUAAUACGUAGGGGGCGAGCGUUGUCCGGAAUUAUUGGGCGUAAAGCGCGUGUAGGCGGCUAUCCAAGUCCGGUGGGAAAGCUCGGGGCUCAACCCCG